AAAGAAUCGAUAGUCUCGUUAGUGAAAUCAAUUUUUUCACAGCUCUAAUGACACCUGAAGUAUUCACAAGUUUUUUGCAAUGUAAUUUAUUAAAUAUUUUUAAAGGACAGUGUGAACGGAAGGAGAUUGUAUAUCCAGUAUUUGUUUUCUUCUUAAUUGAUUGACGAGGCAACAGCCGGAAGGAAAGACACGUAACAUAAUUUUAG